UAAUACGUAGGUGGCAAGCGUUGUCCGGAUUUACUGGGCGUAAAGGGAGCGUAGGCGGAUACUUAAGUGGGAUGUGAAAUACCUGGGCUUAACUUGGGUGCUGCAUUCCAAACUGGGUGUCUAGAGUGUUGGAGAGGAAAGUGGAAUUCCUAGUGUAGCGGUGAAAUGCGUAGAGAUUAGGAAGAACACCAGUGGCGAAGGCGACUUUCUGGACAAUAACUGACGCUGAGGCUCGAAAGCGUGGGGAGCAAACAGGAUUAGAUACCCUGGUAGUCCACGCCGUAAACGAUGGGUACUAGGUGUAGGGGGUAUCGACUCCCCCUGUGCCGCCGUUAACACAAUAAGUACCCCGCCUGGGGAGUACGGUCGCAAGAUUAAAACUUAAAUGAAUUGACGG
rnacentral:rRNA from 1 species